AAGUCAUGAUGUGGACACUUAUGUAGUAAGUUAUUCAAACGCUCUCAUGCUUCAUGCAAGGGUUCCCCCUCACCUUAAGAAAAUUCACAGAUAGAAGUUCUCAUUGC